GUCAGAGUGUGUAGAGUCAGAGUGUGUAGAGUGUAGUGUAUCUGAUAGUGUGUAGAGUCAGAGUGUGUAGAGUCAGAGUGUGUAGAGUCAGAGUGUGUAGAGUCUAGCUAUCUGAGAGUGUGUAGAGUCAGAGUGUAGAGUCAGUGUGUAGGGUCAGAGUGGUAGAGCCAGAGUGUGUCCCAGAGUAGUGUAGAAGUCAGAGUGUGUAGAGUCUAGUGUGUCUGAGUGUGUAGAGUCAGAGUGUGUAGAGUCUAGUGUUUCUGAGAGUGUGUAGAGUCAGAGUGUGUAGAGUCAGAGUGUGUAGAGUCUAGUGUGUCUGAGAGUGUGUAGAGUCAGAGUGUGUAGGGUCUGAUUGUGUAGAGUCUGAGUGUGUAGGGUCUGAUUGUGUAUAGUCUGAGUCUGUCUGAGUGUGUAGUGUCUGGUGUGUGUCAGUGUGUAGAGUCUGAGUUGUGUGUCAGUGUGUAGUGUCUGGUGUGUGUCAGUGUGUAGAGUCUGGUGUGUGUCAGAGUGUGUAGAGUCUGGUGUGUGUCAGUGUGUGUAGAGUCUGUGUGUGUCAGUGUGUAGAGUCUGGUGUGUGUCAGUGUGUAGAGUCUGGUGUGUGUCAGUGUGUAGAGUCUGGUGUGUGCAGUUGUGUAGAGUCUGGUGUGUGUCAGUGUGCAGAGUGUAGUGUCUGGUGUGUGUCAGUGUGUAGAGUCUGGUGUGUGUCAGUGUGUAGUGUCUGGUGUGUGUCAGUGUGUAGAGUCUGGUGUGUGUCAGUGUGUAGAGUCUGGUGUGUGUCAGUGUGUAGUGUCUGGUGUGUGUCAGUGUGUAGAGUCUGGUGUGUGUCAGGGUGUAGUGUCUGGUGUGUGUCAGUGUGUAGUGUCUGGUGUGUGUGUCAGUGUGCAGAGUGUGUAGUGUCUGGUGUGUGUCAGUGUGUAGAGUCUGGUGUGUGUCAGUGUGCAGAGUGUAGUGUCUGGUGUGUGUCAGUGUGUCAUGUGCAGAGGGCGGCGUGCGGCGGGCUGAUGUUGCCGCGUGUGAGGGUGGGCUGUGAGCCAACACGGUGGUCAGACACGUGGUCACAUGACCGCAGACCGGCGCCCUCCAGAGGCCGGCCGCCCUGCCCCUGGAGGGCCGGGGGGGGGCCCUCACAUGGUCAACUAACCCCACCGUCAACUAACCCCACCGUCAACUUCCCCACCGUCAACUAACCCCACCGUCAACUAACCCCACCGUCAACUAACCCCACCGCCAACUAACCCCACCGCCAACUAACCCCGUCAACUAACCCCACCGCCAACUAACCCCACCGUCAAA
ensembl:lncRNA